rnacentral:rRNA from 1 species
CCUACGGGAGGCCGCAGUGAGGAAUAUUGGUCAAUGGGCGGGAGCCUGAACCAGCCAAGUCGCGUGAAGGAAGAAGGUACUUAGUAUUGUAAACUGCUUUUGUCGGGGAACAAAGGCGGAGACGCGUCUCCGGAUGAGUGUACCCGAAGAAAAAGCAUCGGCUAACUCCGUGCCAGCAGCCGCGGUAAUACGGAGGAUGCGAGCGUUAUCCGGAUUUAUUGGGUUUAAAGGGUGCGCAGGCGGGAGAUCAAGUCAGCGGUAAAAGGUCGGGGCUCAACCCCGGCCGGCCGUGGAAACUGGUUUGAUAGAGUUGGAGAGAAGUAAGCGGAAUUCGUUGUGUAGCGGUGAAAUGCAUAGAUAUGACGAAGAACACCGAUUGCGAAGGCAGCAUACCGGC